GGUAGUAGGUGUCUUUGAACGGGGUAUGGUAGUAGGUGCCGUUGAACAGGGUAUGGUAGUAGGUGUCUUUGAACGGUGUAUGGUAGUAGGUGUCUUUGAACGGGGUAUGGUAGUAGGUGUCUUUGAACGGGGUAUGGUAGUAGGUGUCUUUGAACGGGGUAUGGUAGUAGGUGCCUUUGAACGGGGUAUGGUAGUAGGUGGUAGUAUGGUAUGGUAGUAGGUGUCUUUGAACGGGGUAUGGUAGUAGGUGGUAGUAUGGUAUGGUAGUAGGUGUCUUUGAACAGGGUAUGGUAGUAGGUGCCUUUGAACGGGGUAUGGUAGUAGGUGGUAGUAUGGUAUGGUAGUAGGUGCCUUUGAACGGGGUAUGGUAGUAGGUGCCUUUGAACGGGGUAUGGUAGUAGGUGGUAGUAUGGUAUGGUAGUAGGUGUCUUUGAACGGGGUAUGGUAGUAGGUGUCUUUGAACAGGGUAUGGUAGUAGGUGUCUUUGAACGGGGUAUGGUAGUAGGUGUCUUUGAACAGGGUAUGGUAGUAGGUGUCUUUGAACGGGGUAUGGUAGUAGGUGUCUUUGAACGGGGUAUGGUAGUAGGUG